CAGCCGCCGCGGUAAUACGAAGGGGGCUAGCGUUGUUCGGAAUAACUGGGCGUAAAGGGCGCGUAGGCGGAUCUUUAAGUCAGGGGUGAAAUCCCAAGGCUCAACCUUGGAACUGCCUUUGAUACUGGAGAUCUUGAGUCCGGGAGAGGUGAGUGGAACUGCGAGUGUAGAGGUGAAAUUCGUAGAUAUUCGCAAGAACACCAGUGGCGAAGGCGGCUCACUGGCCCGGUACUGACGCUGAGGCGCGAAAGCGUGGGGAGCAAACAGGAUUAGAUACCCCUGUAGUCCCUGUCUCUUAUAC
rnacentral:rRNA from 1 species